UCCUAUGUGUGUCUGGAUUAUUCAAAGACUUCUGAGCUUCAGCAAGGUCGCCGUUAUGUUUCUUUUUCCGAGGCAUUGCAGAAGUUGCAGUCAGUGGUUCGCAGAUGUACGGCAUCUCCCAUGAAAGAUACGAUCUCAAUUUCUGAAAGAUAAACAUUAAGACUGAUGAAGUGACCUGCCUCCUACCUUAAAGUCCAGUGAUUGGGACAAAGACAACCCUAUUGUGAACACAGCAGUGCUCUGCACCCCAUGGUGACUCUUGAGACACAACCUAACUUCAGAAGGCCAACCCUGUCUGCAAAGAAGAACUAGUCACCUGACUGAGCACACAGCCCCCUUCCCUUCUCCUUUCUCCUCCUAGCUUGGUAAAAGGGUCCUAGUCUGUGAGAGAGGCAUGCUUGCUUAG